rnacentral:rRNA from 1 species
GACGAACGCUGGCGGCGUGCUUAACACAUGCAAGUCGAACGGGCCCGCCCCUGUUUUUGGGGGUGGGUUGAGUGGCGAACGGGUGAGUAUCACGUGAGUAACCUGCCCCCUGCUCCUAGAUAACUGCUUGAAAGGGCGGCUAAUACGGGGUGUGCCGGCUGGUCCGCAUGGGCCUGGUCGGGAUAGUUUCAUCUUCGGGUGUUUCGGUGGGGGAUGGGCUCGCGGCCUAUCAGCUUGUUGGUGGGGUGAUGGCCCACCAAGGCGGUGACGGGUAGCCGGCCUGAGAGGGUGGGCGGCCACAGUGGGACUGAGACACGGCCCAGACUCCUGCGGGAGGCAGCAGUGGGGGGUAUUGCACAAUGGGCGGAAGCCUGAUGCAGCGACGUCGCGUGAGGGAGGGAGGCCUUCGGGUUGUGAACCUCUUUCUCCGGUGGUGAAGGCCCUGUCCGUUGCGGCGGGGUUGACGGUAGCCGGGUAUGAAGCGCCGGCUAACUACGU